UCUGGUUGAUCCUGGCGGAGGCCACUGCUAUCGGAGUUCGAUUAAGCCAUGCGAGUCGAGAGGUGCAAGACCUCGGCAUACUGCUCAGUAACACGUGGACAACCUACCCUAUGGAGGGGGAUAACCCCGGGAAACUGGGGAUAAUACCCCAUAGACUAUGGAUGCUGGAAUGCUCUGUAGUUGAAAGGUCCGCCGCCAUAGGAUGGGUCUGCGGCCGAUUAGGUUGUUGUUGGGGUAACGGCCCAACAAGCCUGUAAUCGGUACGGGUUGUGGGAGCAAGAGCCCGGAGAUGGAUUCUGAGACACGAAUCCAGGCCCUACGGGGCGCAGCAGGCGCGAAAACUUUACAAUGCGGGAAACCGUGAUAAAGGAACUCCGAGUGCCCGUAAAAUCGGGCUGUCCAUCUGUUUAAAUAACAGGUGAAGAAAGGGCCGGGCAAGACCGGUGCCAGCCGCCGCGGUAAUACCGGCGGCUCGAGUGGUGGCCACUAUUACUGGGCUUAAAGCGUUCGUAGCUGGUCUGUUAAGUCUCUGGGGAAAUCUACUGGCGUAACCAAUAGGCGUUUCAGGGAUACUGGCAGACUAGGGACCGGGAGAGGUGAGGGGUACUCCAGGGGUAGGAGUGAAAUCCUGUAAUCCUUGGGGGACCACCUGUGGCGAAGGCGCCUCACCAGAACGGCUCCGACAGUGAGGGACGAAAGCUGGGGGAGCAAACCGGAUUAGAUACCCGGGUAGUCCCAGCCGUAAACGAUGCGCGUUAGGUGUAUCGGUGACCACGAGUCACCGAGGUGCCGAAGAGAAAUCGUGAAACGUGCCGCCUGGGAAGUACGGUCGCAAGGCUGAAACUUAAAGGAAUUGGCGGGGGAGCACCACAACAGGUGGAGCCUGCGGUUUAAUCGGACUCAACGCCGGAAAUCUCACCGGAUAAGACAGCUGUAUGAUAGUCGGGCUGAAGACUCUACUUGACUAGCUGAGAGGAGGUGCAUGGCCGUCGUCAGUUCGUACUGUGAAGCAUCCUGUUAAGUCAGGCAACGAGCGAGACCCA
rnacentral:rRNA from 1 species